UACGUAGGGUGCAAGCGUUAAUCGGAAUUACUGGGCGUAAAGCGUGCGCAGGCGGUUUUGUAAGUCUGUCGUGAAAGCCCCGGGCUCAACCUGGGAAUUGCGAUGGAGACUGCAAGGCUUGAAUCUGGCAGAGGGGGGUAGAAUUCCACGUGUAGCAGUGAAAUGCGUAGAUAUGUGGAGGAACACCGAUGGCGAAGGCAGCCCCCUGGGCUAACACUGACGCUCAUGCACGAAAGCGUGGGGAGCAAACAGG
rnacentral:rRNA from 1 species